CUUGGCUGAAGUUCUAGACUUUGUCAUGGGUAAAGGACUCAUCCCGGCCAGCAGAUUAUGAAACAUGGCGUGUUCGAAAACUUGCUAUAGUCCCUGCAUUGCAUCUGAAGUAUGUAGCAGCUAUGAUUAAUUAAACUCUUCAGACAAGCUCCAGUGAGGCUUUGCGAAAAGCUUGAUACUGCUGCAUCUAAUGGGGAAGAUGUAGAGAUGGAGUCACUUUUCUCUCAUUUAACACUGGACAUCAUUGGCAAGGCAGUUUUUAAUUAUGACUUUGAUUCAUUAACCAAUGACGUAUACUGGGAUAGUUGAGGCUGUUUACAGAGCCUUGAGAGAAGCUCUAGAAGAGCGCAGUACUGUUGCACCAAUACCGUACCUGCAGUCUGGGAGAUUCCAAUAUGGAAAGACACUUCACCACGACAGAGGAAGGUGACAAAAGCCCUCAAAUUAAUCAACGAUACAGUGGAUCGAUGAACUGAUUGCACUUUGCCAUCAAUUGUUGGCAUGGACAACAAAAUUAAAGCUGCAUGUCUUCGAUCUUCUGCAAUAUGCAUGUUUUAUAUAUGCUAAUUAAUUAAGCUGAUAGAUAUGGCUACUA